rnacentral:lncRNA from 1 species
UUUUCCCCUUUCUUUCUCUCUCUACUUCUCUCCUUUAUCUUAAUGCCCAUUUCUACUCUCUGACCUCUCUCUAAAACAAACCCUCAUCCGGCCUCCCUCUCCUUAUCUUAAUGCCCAUUUCUACUCUCUGACCUCUCUCUAAAACAAACCCUCAUUCGGCCUCCCUUCUCCGCCUUUCACCACCAUCCAAAGCACCACCUUCCCCAGAUUCCGGUUGAUCUUCAACCGGUAUCUUCAAAUGUUCAUCCAUUAUUUUCCAAAACGCCAUCAAUCUCCAAACCUGGGUUCUUCAGAUGAACCCUAACAACUUCUUCAACCUAGAAACCUCCCAAACCGAAGAAUCCCAAAUGGGUUCUCCUAAACCCGAAGAACUCUAACCUAUGCCCAGAUGAACCCUAUGGUUCAUCACAUGAACCCUAACCCUAGCCAUUACCUAAAAACUCCCUAAAUCAUGGCUGAUCCACAAAUCGGUCUUCCCUAACCCCAACCAAACCCUUAAAUUCCCAAAUCAAACCCCAAGGAAACAAAAACUUCCAACCCUAACCUUAAUCCCCUUUUAAUUCAUUCAUCGAUUCAACCUAUAAAACUGCAAUAAACACAAAUAGGCAAGCAACACAACAAAUAUAUUAUGCGAAAAGGGGGUCAACCUACGAUAUGGAGAUGUAUUCCGGUUCAUGAAAGGUAAUAUCUAGUUCUUUUCCUUUCUCCUUUUGAUCUGAUUGUCUUCUUACUUCUGACUUCUUCUUCUUCAUUGUUUCAUGUUAGAGUUUAAAUGUUAAACCUUAACCUCUGUUUAAUGGGAGCUUUGGUGAUGGUUUGGUGGAUUGCGGAAGCAAGAAUUUUGAGGAUUCUUUUUUAGGGUUUUCUUUUUUUCGUCCCUCAUCCAGUCUUAGCAUUAGGCUUUUAUAGAUUGAUUUUAGGUUUUAGGAUUUAAUUUGAUUGAUUCAAUCAGGUAACUUAGAAUUUGAUUCUGAUUGUUUUGUGUUAGAAAUAAAAACUAUAUUCAAAUUGUAACUGAAAUUGUAAUGUAUUUGGUCCAAUAUUUGGUUUGUAAUUCGUGAUCGUAUGAAAUUAGAAAGUUUGGAUUGAGUUAAAAUUUCCAGUUUUUUUGAUUUGCUUC